GCAAUUAUACGGCGAAACUGCGAAUGGCUCAUUAUAUAAGUUAUCGUUUAUUUGAUAGCACCUUACUACUUGGAUAACCGUGGUAAUUCUAGAGCUAAUACAUGCUAAAAAUCCCGACUUCGGAAGGGAUGUAUUUAUUAGAUUAAAAACCAAUGCCCUCUGGGCUCUCUGGUGAUUCAUGAUAACUUCUCGAAUCGCAUGGCCUUGCGCCGGCGAUGGUUCAUUCAAAUUUCUUCCCUAUCAACUUUCGAUGUUUGGGUAGUGGCCAAACAUGGUUGCAACGGGUAACGGAGGGUUAGGGCUCGACCCCGGAGAAGGAGCCUGAGAAACGGCUACUACAUCCAAGGAAGGCAGCAGGCGCGCAAAUUACCCAAUCCCGACACGGGGAGGUAGUGACAAUAAAUACUGAUACAGGGCUCUUUU
rnacentral:rRNA from 1 species